AGUGAACGCUGGCGGUAGGCCUAACACAUGCAAGUCGAACGGCAGCACAGUAAGAGCUUGCGCUUACGGGUGGCGAGUGGCGGAAGGGUGAGGAAUACAUCGGAAUCUACUUUGUCGGGGGGGAUAACGUAGGGAAACUUACGCUAAUACCGCAUACGACCUACGGGGGAAAGCAGGGGAUCGUCGGACCUGGCGGGAUUGAAUGAGCCGAUGUCGGAUUAGCUAGUUGGCGGGGUAAAGGCCCACCAAGGCGACGAUCCGUAGCUGCUCUGAGAGCGUGAUCAGCCACCCUGGAUCUGAGACCCGGUCCACACUCCUGCGCGGGGCCGCAGUCGGGAAUCUUGCGCAAUGCGCGCGAGCCUAAUCCUGCCAUACCGCGUGGGUGAUGAACCCCUUCUGCUUGUUAAGCCCUUUUGUUCUGAAAGAAAUGCAGCUCGUUUAUCCCCCGCUGUUCUGACGGUACCCAAAGAAUAAGCACCGGCUAACUUCGUG
rnacentral:rRNA from 1 species